AUGAGUCAUUAAUUUGGUGAUUAUGAUAACAUAAGGGAAAAAAAUGAUAUUACCUUAUUAUUAGUGUUGUCCAAAACUGGUGCCAGAAGACUCGGUAAGACCAGAGACGCAAACGUUAGUCAUCUUAAUCAGGCGUAAAGGGUGUGUAGGCUGCUUUAAAAGUUUAAAUCUUUUUAAUAGCUCUUUUGCCGUUGUACUACCAUUAUUUAUUUUAUUUAUAAAUAAUAAACAAAAAUGAAUAUAAAGGUAGUACAUUUUAUAAUUUAAUUAAUUUAAUCAUUAUAAAGGGGACAAAAAAAAGAUAUCCCGGUUUAAGUAAAAAGAAUAAAAUGAAUUAAAGCUAGGAUCAAAUUGAGGAUAAACCAAAUAAUACUUAGAGUAGGGCCGAUAUCCGCAGAUACUAAGGGGAAUACUAAAGGUGAAAGCUUUUUAUCUACUAUUGAUUGACGCUGAGAAACGAAGGUGAGAAUAGGAAAUAGGAUUUGAUACCCAGAUACCUCUCACUGUCAACGAUGAAUGGUGGUUGUUAGUUUUAAUAAAAACUGGUAACGAUGUUAACACGAUAACCAUUCCGCCUUGCGAGUACGGUUGCAAAACUGAAACCAAAAAAAUUAGUCGGUUUCGAAGCAAACGAAGUGAAGCAUGUUAUUUAA
rnacentral:rRNA from 1 species